AGUUUGGAAAUCGGGUUUACUAUCUCUACUUUUAGAUGCGAGUAUCCUUACUAUCAUCACCUGUGUUUUUGGCUAAUGAGAUCCAUUUCAUUUUCCAUCUCCAAGACCUUGACAUUUUGCAGUCAGAGUAUUCCUUCUGAAGAGACAUAAUGAUGAUUAUGGGAACUCUUUCCUGUCAAUGCCAAAGUGCAGAGAGGUGGUGAUAAUUAGUGGGAGCUUUGGAUUGAUCUUAUUUAACUAAUUUCUCAUAUUUUGCUCAACCUGUCUUUGUUACAGGUAUUUCUGGACGCUUUGUUGGGAAAUAUUGUGUUUAUUUUUGUUCUGCUUCUUGGGCAAGGUUUUUCGUCAAUUGUUCCCUUCCUGUAACUAGGUACUUGAAGAUCUUGCUUGCUGUAUUUGUCUCAAGCUUCUUUAAGGUCUGGGAGUUUCCAUCUGCUGUUCUUUACAUCAUCGAAAUGUUCAUUCUAUCAUCAAAUGCGGUUGCUUUCCGAGUUUCGACACAGCAGGAGGCCAUUCGGUGCAUCGGUAUUUGCUUGAGCGCACAUGCGGCCAAAUUCCUCAUUGAUUAUUGGUUGCUAUCUCUAUUACCUUCUUUUUCUCGGUGAUCUUGUUUACUGGU